rnacentral:rRNA from 1 species
CCCGCUUGCUGGUGGAUUAGUGGCGAACGGGUGAGUAACACGUGAGUAACCUGCCCUUGACUCUGGGAUAAGCCUGGGAAACUGGGUCUAAUACCGGAUAUGACUGACCGUCGCAUGGUGGUUGGUGGAAAGCUUUUGUGGUUUUGGAUGGACUCGCGGCCUAUCAGCUUGUUGGUGGGGUAAUGGCCUACCAAGGCGACGACGGGUAGCCGGCCUGAGAGGGUGACCGGCCACACUGGGACUGAGACACGGCCCAGACUCCUACGGGAGGCAGCAGUGGGGAAUAUUGCACAAUGGGCGCAAGCCUGAUGCAGCGACGCCGCGUGAGGGAUGACGGCCUUCGGGUUGUAAACCUCUUUCAGUAGGGAAGAAGCGUAAGUGACGGUACCUGCAGAAGAAGCGCCGGCUAACUACGUGCCAGCAGCCGCGGUAAUACGUAGGGCGCAAGCGUUAUCCGGAAUUAUUGGGCGUAAAGAGCUCGUAGGCGGUUUGUCGCGUCUGCCGUGAAAGUCCGGGGCUCAACUCCGGAUCUGCGGUGGGUACGGGCAGACUAGAGUGAUGUAGGGGAGACUGGAAUUCCUGGUGUAGCGGUGAAAUGCGCAGAUAUCAGGAGGAACACCGAUGGCGAAGGCAGGUCUCUGGGCAUUAACUGACGCUGAGGAGCGAAAGCAUGGGGAGCGAACAGGAUUAGAUACCCUGGUAGUCCAUGCCGUAAACGUUGGGCACUAGGUGUGGGGGACAUUCCACGUUUUCCGCGCCGUAGCUAACGCAUUAAGUGCCCCGCCUGGGGAGUACGGCCGCAAGGCUAAAACUCAAAGGAAUUGACGGGGGCCCGCACAAGCGGCGGAGCAUGCGGAUUAAUUCGAUGCAACGCGAAGAACCUUACCAAGGCUUGACAUGGACCAGACCGGACUGGAAACAGUUCUUCCACUUGUGGCUGGUUUACAGGUGGUGCAUGGUUGUCGUCAGCUCGUGUCGUGAGAUGUUGGGUUAAGUCCCGCAACGAGCGCAACCCUCGUUCUAUGUUGCCAGCACGUGAUGGUGGGGACUCAUAGGAGACUGCCGGGGUCAACUCGGAGGAAGGUGGGGACGACGUCAAAUCAUCAUGCCCCUUAUGUCUUGGGCUUCACGCAUGCUACAAUGGCCGGUACAAAGGGUUGCGAUACUGUGAGGUGGAGCUAAUCCCAAAAAGCCGGUCUCAGUUCGGAUUGGGGUCUGCAACUCGACCCCAUGAAGUCGGAGUCGCUAGUAAUCGCAGAUCAGCAACGCUGCGGUGAAUACGUUCCCGGGCCUUGUACACACCGCCCGUCAAGUCACGAAAGUUGGUAACACCCGAAGCCGGUGGCCUAACCCCUUGUGGGAGGGAGC